rnacentral:rRNA from 1 species
GACGAAUGCUGGCGGCGUGCUUAACACAUGCAAGUCGAACGGAAAGGCCCUGCUUUUGUGGGGUGCUCGAGUGGCGAACGGGUGAGUAACACGUGAGUAACCUGCCCUUGACUUUGGGAUAACUUCAGGAAACUGGGGCUAAUACCGGAUAGGAGCUCCUGCUGCAUGGUGGGGGUUGGAAAGUUUCGGCGGUUGGGGAUGGACUCGCGGCUAUCAGCUUGUUGGUGGGGUAGUGGCUUACCAAGGCUUUGACGGGUAGCCGGCCUGAGAGGGUGACCGGCCACAUUGGGACUGAGAUACGGCCCAGACUCCUACGGGAGGCAGCAGUGGGGAAUAUUGCACAAUGGGCGGAAGCCUGAUGCAGCAACGCCGCGUGCGGGAUGACGGCCUUCGGGUUGUAAACCGCUUUCGCCUGUGACGAAGCGUGAGUGACGGUAAUGGGUAAAGAAGCACCGGCUAACUACGUG